rnacentral:rRNA from 1 species
AGAGCGAACGCUGGCGGCAGGCUUAACACAUGCAAGUCGAGCGGGCGUAGCAAUGCGUCAGCGGCAGACGGGUGAGUAACGCGUGGGAACGUACCUUUUGGUUCGGAACAACCCAGGGAAACUUGGGCUAAAUACCGGAUAAGCCCUUACGGGGAAAGAUUUAUCGCCGAAAGAUCGGCCCGCGUCUGAUUAGCUAGUUGGUGAGGUAAUGGCUCACCAAGGCGACGAUCAGUAGCUGGUCUGAGAGGAUGAUCAGCCACAUUGGGACUGAGACACGGCCCAAACUCCUACGGGAGGCAGCAGUGGGGAAUAUUGGACAAUGGGCGCAAGCCUGAUCCAGCCAUGCCGCGUGAGUGAUGAAGGCCCUAGGGUUGUAAAGCUCUUUGUGCGGGAAGAUAAUGACGGUACCGCAAGAAUAAGCCCGGCUAACUUCGCGCCAGCAGCCGC